rnacentral:rRNA from 1 species
GGAGCCGUAGCGAAAGCGAGUUUUAACUGAGCGUUCAGUUACUUGACGUAGACCCGAAACCGGGCGACCUACCCAUGAGCAGGAUGAAGCGAAAGUAAAAUUUCGUGGAGGUCCGAACCCACGAGCGUUGAAAAGCUCGGGGAUGACUUGUGGGUAGCGGUGAAAUUCCAAUCGAGCCCGGAGAUAGCUGGUUCUCCCCGAAAUAGCUUUAGGGCUAGCCUCAAGGUGAGAGAUACGGAGGUAGAGCACUGAAUGUCCUAGGGGGUAUUGCACCUACCGAAGACUAUCAAACUCCGUAUGCCGUCAUCUUAUACUUGGGAGUCAGACUGUGGGUGAUAAGAUUCAUAGUCGAAAGGGCAACAGCCCAGAUCGUCAGCUAAGGUCCCUAAAUGUAAGUUAAGUGGUAAAGGAUGUGGGAUUGCACAGACAACCAGGAUGUUGGCUUAGAAGCAGCCACUCAUUCAAAGAGUGCGUAAUAGCUCACUGGUCGAGUGAUCCUGCGCCGAAGAUUUCCGGGGCUAAAACUUACUACCGAAGCUACGGCAUCAGUAAUGAUGGGUAGGGGAGCUUCCCAUACGGGUUGAAGCAUGACCGUAAGGACAUGUGGACAGUAUGGGAGUGAGAAUGUUGGCAUGAGUAGCGAGAUGUGGGUGAGAAUCCCACAGGCCGUAAACCCAAGGUUUCCAGGGGAAGGUUCGUCCGCCCUGGGUUAGUCGGGACCUAAGCUGAGGCCGAAAGGCGUAGGUGAUGGACAACAGGUUGAUAUUCCUGUACUACCGAUAACCGUUUGAGAGAAGGGAUGACACAGUAGGAUAAGCUAAGCACACUGUUGGUUAUGUGUGCCCAAGCAUUGAGGCAGUCAAAGUAGGCAAAUCCGCUUUGAUAAUGCUGGGAUGUGAUGGGGAGCGAAAUUUAGUAGCGAAGUAGCUGAUUUCACACUGUCAAGAAAAGUCUCUAUCGAGGUUAAAGGUACCCGUACCGCAAACCGACACAGGUGGGUGAGGAGAGUAUCCUAAGGCCAGCGAGAGAACUGUUGUUAAGGAACUCGGCAAAAUGACCCCGUAACUUAGGGAUAAGGGGUGCCACCAUCAGGUGGCCGCAGAGAAUAGGCCCAAGCGACUGUUUACCAAAAACAUAGGUUUCUGCUAAGUCGCAAGACGAUGUAUAGGAGCUGACGCCUGCCCGGUGCUGGAAGGUUAAGGGGAUCUGUUAGAGCAAUCGAAGCAGUGAACUUAAGCCCCAGUAAACGGCGGCCGUAACUAUAACGGUCCUAAGGUAGCGAAAUUCCUUGUCGGGUAAGUUCCGACCCGCACGAAAGGCGUAACGAUUUGGGCACUGUCUCAACAACAGACUCGGUGAAAUUGUAAUUCCGGUGAAGAUGCCGGAUACCUGCGACAGGACGGAAAGACCCCAUGGAUCUUUACUGUAGCUUGACAUUGGGUCUUGGUACUACAUGUACAGGAUAGGUGGGAGGCUUUGAAACCAGGACGCCAGUUUUGGCGGAGCCAUCCUUGGGAUACCACCCUUGUAGUACUGGGACUCUAACCAUAGGCCAUGAAUCUGGUCUUGGGACACUGUCAGGUGGGCAGUUUGACUGGGGCGGUCGCCUCCCAAAAGGUAACGGAGGCGCUCAAAGGUUCUCUCAGUACGGUCGGAAAUCGUACGUAGAGUGUAAAGGCAAAAGAGAGCUUGAUUGCAAGACAUACAGGUCGAGCAAGGAUGAAAAUCGGACUUAGUGAUCCGGUGGUUCUGCGUGGAAGGGCCAUCGCUCAACGGAUAAAAGCUACCCUGGGGAUAACAGGCUUAUCUCCCCCAAGAGUCCACAUCGACGGGGAGGUUUGGCACCUCGAUGUCGGCUCAUCACAUCCUGGGGCUGUAGUAGGUCCCAAGGGUUGGGCUGUUCGCCCAUUAAAGUGGUACGCGAGCUGGGUUCAGAACGUCGUGAGACAGUUCGGUCCCUAUCCGUCGCAGGCGUAGGAAAUUUGAGAAGACCUGUCCUUAGUACGAGAGGACCGGGAUGGACGUACCUCUGGUGUACCAGUUGUUCUGCCAAGGGCAUGGCUGGGUAGCUAUGUACGGAAUGGAUAAGCGCUGAAAGCAUCUAAGCGCGAAGCCAACUUCAAGAUAAGAUUUCCCACCGCAAGGGUAAGACCCCAGAAAGACUAUCUGGUUGAUAGGUCGAAGGUGUAAGUGCAGCAAUGUAUUUAGCUUAUCGAUACUAAUAGGUCGAGGACUUGACCAA